CUGAUUUAAUCAGUUUCUAUGAGGAGGUAAGUUCUAGACUUGACUGCGGUGAGUCAAUGGAUGUCAUAUAUCUUGACUUCUUCAAAACAUUUGAUACUGUAACACAUAAAAGGUUGGUAUAUAAAAUGAGAAGGCUUGGCCUGGGAGAA